rnacentral:ncRNA from 1 species
AACAGGGGAGCUUGUGUGACAGGCUGAGAGGAAACUGGAAGUUUCGACCCGGAAACCUGAUUUGGAUAAUGCCAACGUAGGGAAAGAUGAGAAA